UCCUACCUCAAGGAUGUUUAUAAUGAUCAGAUGAGGGAGGAAGAAGACCCACAAAGUGAGCCCAGCUGUAGGCUCUUGCUAUCACCUAACUAGUCAAACCAUCUCUUCAGUCUUUUAAAUAGGGAGAAGCAGAGGAAGUAGUGUUGCUGUAAAGUGAGUUAGCUGUGUUUCCAAGAGUUUAAGUAGUCAAGUCAGAAGCCAUUUGCUUGCUUAGUUUGAAUUGAUAGAUGAAGGAGGACUUGAGUCCUUUGAAAGGCAAGAAGGUUGAGCUCCUGACCCACCCCUACCCACCUCCUCCAAACCCAGUUCAUUUGGAAUCAGGAACUCAAAAGUGAUUGCCUGGAGAAGCAUUCAUAUCUCUGUGCAAUGAAAGCUCAUCCAGGAUUGGUUCAGAAGUGCUUCUUUCAUGAAGUCCUCCCUGAUUUGACUCUGACUCCCAAACCUCAGCCAAAAGAUUCACCCAUGACAAUAAACAAGGCACUCCUGGAAUUGGAAAGCCCUCAUUCAUUCUUGGCAUUCCAAGCAAGAGCUCAGAACAUCCCUCAGGUCAAAGGCAUUGAGAUCCCUUUCAAAGACUUGUCCAAGAAAGUGUCAAACUGAGAGUGCCAUGAGUCAGAGAAUCAUGAAGCUAGGAUUCUCCUCUCCCUCCAGCACGACUUCUCCUAUACUCCUCGUCCCUCCUCCACCUCCCCCAUCUCCUGCUGAAGGCUACCUAGGCUGAUCUGAGAAUGAUGAAAUCUGACUGAAGUAGCUCAGGCCAACUUGCUGCCUCAUGUGUCUCCAAGGGGCUUUCCAUAUCACUAGAAAAGAUGAGCCUCUUCUUUGCACCCCUUUUUCAGUGUGAGUGAGAUGUUUGUCCUCUUGACUGGGGUUCUUAUUUCUUAGUUUGGGUGUUUUUAAAAAUUCUUUUAAAAUCAAUACUUUGACAUGAAGUAAGCACAGUUUUUGUUAUCUUUGUUGUAGAAUAUUUGUUGCCUUUUGUUAAUUAGCGAAAAUAAUAAAAGCUUGAAAGUGUGAGACUUCA
rnacentral:lncRNA from 1 species